GUGGGGAAUCUUCCGCAAUGGACGAAAGUCUGACGGAGCAACGCCGCGUGAGUGAAGAAGGUUUUCGGAUCGUAAAGCUCUUUCGUUAGGGACGAACGUGCUCUUUGUGAAUAAUGAGGAGUAAUGACGGUACCUAAAUAAGAAGCCACGGCUAACUACGUGCCAGCAGCCGCGGUAAUACGUAGGUGGCAAGCGUGGUCCGGAAUUAUUGGGCGUAAAGCGCGCGCAGGCGGGAUAUCAAGUCUGUCUUAAAAGUGCGAGGCUCAACCUCGUGAGGGGACAGAAACUGGUAUUCUUGAGUGUCGGAGAGGAAAGUGGAAUUCCAAGUGUAGCGGUAAAAUGCGUAGAGAUUUGGAAGAACACCAGUGGCGAAGGCGACUUUCUGGACGAUGUCUGACGCUGAGGCGCGAAAGCUAGGGGAGCGAACGGGAUUAGAAACCCGGGUAGUCC
rnacentral:rRNA from 1 species